UACGAAGGGUGCAAACGUUGCUCGGAAUUAUUGGGCGUAAAGCGCACGUAGGUGGCUUAGUAAGUCGGAUGUGAAAUCCCCAGGCUUAACCUGGGAACUGCAUUCGAAACUGCUUUGCUAGAGUAUGGGAGAGGGCAGUGGAAUUUCAGGUGUAGCGGUGAAAUGCGUAGAUAUCUGAAGGAACAUCAGUGGCGAAAGCGACUGCCUGGACCAAUACUGACGCUCAUGUGCGAAAGCGUGGGGAGCAAACAGG
rnacentral:rRNA from 1 species